rnacentral:rRNA from 1 species
UGGGGAAUAUUGCGCAAUGGGCGAAAGCCUGACGCAGCGACGCCGCGUGAGGGAUGAAGGUUUUCGGAUCGUAAACCUCUGUCAGAAGGGAAGAAACUACAUUGUGCUAAUCAGCAGUGUACUGACGGUACCUUCAAAGGAAGCACCGGCUAACUCCGUGCCAGCAGCCGCGGUAAUACGGAGGGUGCAAGCGUUAAUCGGAAUUACUGGGCGUAAAGCGCACGUAGGCUGUAGUGUAAGUCAGGGGUGAAAUCCCACGGCUCAACCGUGGACAUGCCGUUGAUACCGAAGAACGCGAAGCCGGGAGAGUGUGGCGGACUUCCAGGUGUAGGAGUGAAAUCCGUAGAUAGCGGGAGGAACAGCAGGGGCGAAGGCGGCAACCUGGACCGGUAUUGACGCUGAGGUGCGAAAGCGUGGGGAGCAAACAG